UUAAAUUAAAACAAAAAACAAAAAAUAGAUUUACAGGGUCCGAGGGAGUUAGGAACUCUAUGGCACUCCGUGCCGUUCUCCUGCUUCGUCACUCCGGCAAGACACUCACACUCACCUCUUCGUGGUCAUGUUCGCGGCGCGCCACACUCUCUUCCGCUUCCUGUUGCUGCCGACAAAGGAAGCAAGCUCCGGCGCCGCCGCCGCCGUCCCCGAAGAAGGUGCCGUUCAGAGUUUUGGUUCACGGGAAGACGCUAGAAGAUCCAUAUCAUUGGAUGUCCAACACCGACGAUCCCAAUCUGUUGGACCAUCUCCACCGCGAAAAUUCCUACGCCGAAGCCUUCAUGGCUGACGCCCUCCCUCUGCAGUCUGCCUUGGCUUCCGAGAUGAAACGACGAAUCCCCGCCGCCGUUUCCACUCCCCCGGAGCGUUGGGGACCCUGGAUGUAUUACCAAUACAUUCCAGAGGGAAGGGAAUAUCCUGUACUGUGUAGGAAGCUGGAAAAUGAGAGCAGUGGUUGGCUGGCGGCUUUUCGUCGUUAUGGAUUGGCAAGACCUAAAAGGGAGGAAAUUUUGCUUGACUGGAAUGAACUUGCAGAGAAAUAUGGGUAUGUCCAUGUUGGUACAUGUAGGGUUUCACCAGACCACAACUAUCUUGCAUUCACAGUUGAUAUUUCUGGGGCUGAGCAGUUCAUGCUUAAAGUUAAAGACCUCAGAACUGGAUUGAUAGACCCAAAGUUGGCAGCUGAUGGUGUUGUUAGCCUGGCAUGGGCUCGAGAUGCAACUUCUUUGUUUUAUACUCUGUCAGAUGAAAACCAGAGACCUUACAGAGUUCUAUGUAGAAGACUUGGAUGCGGUCCUUCGAAUGACCUCCCAGUAUUUACAGAAAGUGAUCCCAGUUUUUGUGUUGACAUAACAAGCACAAAAGAUGGCAAGUUCAUAACGGUGAAUUCAAACUCAAGGACAUCAUCCGAGGUUUAUGUUAUAAAUGCAGCCAAUCCAAUGGAAGGGAUACAAAGGAUAUGUAAACGUACUUCUGGUGUACAGUACUUUGUGGAACAUCACACUGGUUUAUUUUAUAUCCUUACCAACUCUCCAAUGCCCGAUUCUAGGUGGUCUGGUGAUGGUUACUACCUGGUCCGAUGCCAAGUUGAAGAUAUAGAGUCAACUAAAUGGCUGAACAUCAUCCUCCCUGAUGAUGAUACGAGCAUACGUGACAUGGACAUUUUUAGUGGACAUUUGGUUCUUUCCCUCAAUAAAAGAGGUUUUCCUUUGUUAUGUUCCUUGAAUCUUCCCAUGCAAAGUGAUUUGAAGUAUCAGGUAUAUAUUCAAGACCUGAAACCAUGGUACUUUCCUCAGCCAUCUAGCUCAUGCAGUGCGAUUCCUGGUUCGAAUCAUGACUUUCUGAAUUCAGAGUAUCGUGUGGUGCUCUCAUCACCUGUGAUGCCUGAUGUAAUUGUUGAUUAUGACAUGUCAAGACAUACAUAUUCAGUUGUGCAGCAAGAGGAAGUAAAUUGUGUUUCUACUGGCCAGUUUUGCAUUCAAUCUUUGGAGCUACAUGAGAAUAAAAUUCAUGAGGCAUAUAAUAAGAAAGAAUGUAUCAUGAAUUCUGAAUCACAGAUUUGGAAGGACCUUUCUCGAAUAUACUGUUUGCAGAGGGAGGAAGUUAUUUCUCAUGAUGGUGUAAAGGUUCCACUUACCAUUGUGUACUCGAGAGAAUUGUGGCAGCAGGAUAAAUCCCCAGGUCUUUUAGUAGGUUAUGGAGCUUAUGGAGAAGAUUUGGAUAAGGGCUGGUGUUCAGAUCGGCUUAGUUUACUGGAUCGAGGUUGGGUAGUGGCAUUUGCUGAUGUCAGUGUGUGUUGUGCCAGAGGAGGUGGUGGUGGUAAUUCGUCAUGGCACAGGUCUGGGAGUGGGUUAAACAAGCACAAUUCAAUACUUGACUUUGUAUCUUGUGGUAACUAUCUAGUUAGUGAGGGUUAUGUUCAGAGUGAUCAGCUUGGUGCCAUUGCAUGGAGUGCAGGCUGUGUUGUUGUUGGUGCAGCUAUGAACAUGUAUCCACAACUCUUCCGUUCUGCCAUAUUAAAGGUACCAUUUCUUGAUGUAUGCAACACAUUGUUGGAUCCUAGUUUGCCCCUCACAGUCUUAGACUAUGAAGAAUUUGGAAAUCCGAAAAUACAGUCAAACUUUGAUUCUAUUUUUAGUUAUUCUCCUUAUGACAACAUUCCUCAACGCAGUUGCUUUCCUUCUGUUUUGGUUACAGUGGCAGUCAAUGAUUCAAGGGUUGGAGUUUGGGAAGGUGCAAAGUGGGUGGCUAAAGUACGAGACAGUACAUGCCCUAAUUGUUCUCGUUCAGUUAUCAUGAAAACAAGUAUGAUAGGAGGUCAUUUUGGCGAAGGUGGUCACCAUAGUCAAUGUGACGAAACAGCUUAUGAGUAUGCUUUCCUCAUGAAAACUUUUGGGAUCUUAAAGGAUUAAGUAAAUUUUACGAGUACGGCUGUUGGAAGGUUAUUUUUUAAUUAGUUUGAAGAGUUCCAUUUCUAGGCCAAGGAAGAGUUAUAUACUUAGCGCAAAGCAAGAAUUAGGCCUUGGAGAUUCAGAAGUAGAGGCAGAAGCAGAAUCAAUAACAACAAGAAACAGAAGAACAACAAUGGAUAAUGGAAUCAAAGUAACAACAAAAAUAGAACAAGAAGCAGAAGCAGAAGCAACAACAAUGAAACAACAAUCAAAAUCAGAAGAACAACAACAAUGGAUAAUGGAAUCAGAACAACUGGCAAGGAGGACGAAGAGCAGCGGCGACCGGCGAGGAGCAUCGACGAUCGUCCAACCUUGCGAAUUUGCUGGCGUCAAAGUGACCCCACUCCAGCGGCGGCGACGGAACAUGGCUCGAUGGCAACUGACGACGGCGAUUCGCGAUGAGGACGACAGCAUGGCGUGGUGAGCUGGAAGCGGUCUCCCUCAGCGCCUCCGUUCCUUUCUUCUCUUCCUCUCUGCUUCUCUUUCUCUCUCCUUCUGCUCUCUCCUCUCGUGCCGUUAGUGUGAGUGCGCUGAGGAAGAAAGGAAACGGCGAGAUCUGGCGGUGAGAUCCAGUGGCGAGGAUCGAACGACGAGGAGUAGCGGCGGCGGCGAGGACCGAAUGACGAGAAGCAGCGGCAGUGGAUUCCCUUCCCCCUCUUCUUCCCUGGAAACCCCCUCGAAGCGUGAUUCCCUUUCCCA